UACAGAGGUGGCAAGCGUUGUCCGGAUUUACUGGGUGUAAAGGGUGCGUAGGCGGAUGGGUACGCGAGUGGUGAAAUGCCUCGGCUCAACCGAGGAACGGCUGCUCGACCGGCCCGUCUGGAGGAGGACAGGGGCGACUGGAACUCUGGGUGGAGCGGGAAAAUGCGUAGAGAUCAGGAGGAACACCGAAGGCGAAGGCAGCCAUCUGGACCGCCACUGACGCUGAGGCACGAAAGCGUGGGGAGCAAACAGG
rnacentral:rRNA from 1 species